rnacentral:rRNA from 1 species
UACGGGGGGGGCAAGCGUUGUUCGGAAUUACUGGGCGUAAAGGGUUCGUAGGUGGCCAACUAAGUCAGACGUGAAAUCCCUCAGCUUAACUGGGGAACUGCGUCUGAUACUGGUUGGCUUGAGUGCAGGAGAGGAACGCGGAAUUCCAGGUGUAGCGGUGAAAUGCGUAGAUAUCUGGAGGAACACCGGUGGCGAAGGCGGCGUUCUGGACUGCAACUGACACUGAGGAACGAAAGCGUGGGGAGCGAACAGG